GACGGAGGGUGCAAGCGUUGUUCGGAAUCACUGGGCGUAUAGCGCGUGUAGGCGGUUUGAUAAGUCGAAUGUGAAAGCCCGAGGCUCAACCUCGGAAGUGCAUUCGAAACUGUCAGGCUUGAGUACGGGAGAGGGAAGUGGAAUUCCUGGUGUAGAGGUGAAAUUCGUAGAUAUCAGGAGGAACACCGGUGGCGAAGGCGGCUUCCUGGACCGAUACUGACGCUGAGACGCGAAAGCGUGGGGAGCAAACCGG
rnacentral:rRNA from 1 species